rnacentral:rRNA from 1 species
UGCCAGCAGCCGCGGUAAUACGAAGGGUGCUAGCGUUGUUCGGAAUUACUGGGCGUAAAGCGCGCGUAGGCGGUUUGGAAAGUUGGGUGUGAAAGCCCAGGGCUCAACCCUGGAACUGCACUCAAAACUUCCAGACUAGAGACUUGGAGAGGUGGGCGGAAUUCCGAGUGUAGAGGUGAAAUUCGUAGAUAUUCGGAAGAACACCAGUUGCGAAGGCGGCUCACUGGCCAAGUUCUGACGCUGAGGUGCGAAAGCGUGGGGAGCAAACAGGAUUAGAUA